rnacentral:rRNA from 1 species
GACGAACGCUGGCGGCGUGCUUAACACAUGCAAGUCGAACGGUGAACGAGGGAGCUUGCUCCCUCCGGAUCAGUGGCGAACGGGUGAGUAACACGUGAGCAAUCUGCCCCGAACUCUGGGAUAAGCGUUGGAAACGACGUCUAAUACCGGAUACGACGCGGGAGGGCAUCCUCUCCGCGUGGAAAGAACUUCGGUUCGGGAUGAGCUCGCGGCCUAUCAGCUUGUUGGUGAGGUAACGGCUCACCAAGGCGACGACGGGUAGCCGGCCUGAGAGGGUGACGGGCAAAAGUGGGAAGGAGAAGCGGCCCAGCCCCCAAGGGGGGGAGGCGGGGGGGAAUAUGGCACAGGGGGCGAAAGCCGGAGGCAGCAACGCCGGGGGAGGGAGGACGGCCUGCGGUUUGUAACCCUUUUUGAGCGGGGAAGAAGGAAAAGUGAGGGUCCGUGAAAAAAAAGCACCGGCAAAUUACGUG